ensembl:lncRNA
GGGACAAUCAGAUGGAAAAUUGACAUUUUGUUUGUCUCUGCCGUUGGUUGUUUUCAUCCUUGGGCUGUUCCAGCCCCAAGCAGCCUCAGGCCAGCCCCCUGCCCAUGCUGGGCUCUCCACAGGCCCUGGAACCCUCACCCCAGUGCAGCUGGCCUGGUGAAACCAAGAGUGCCUGAGGCCCGAAAUAGCCAGGAAACCCCACCGAGCCCCAGCCCUGGCAGCAGGUGCCUCCUUCUCCCCAGGGUUGGGGGUGGGAGGGACCUCAGUUUCCAAAGCUUCCAUGAGCCCAGCUGGAAGAAUGCUGGGCACCCAGCUGGUGCCAGCACCAAGGCACCCAAGCCCCAUGCCCAGGCUUGAGUUAGACAGGAGAUCAUGGUUAAUCAAUGGUCGGAAGUAGCAUCUUCUGCUCCAGAAGCUUCUAUUCAUGCAGGCCCUGCCCUCUCCUCACAGCUCCCCAGGAACUGUUCUAAACACCAGGUCCAGAGCUGCGGCCAAUUAGGGGGCACAGCCAGACACUUGGAGCUCAGAGGGGCCCAGUAGGCAGGUAAAUCGACCCAACAGAUGAGAAACAGUGUCUACUGGGGUGGGAAGGGCUGGCUGGGGCUGGACCUGGGACUCUGCAGGUCACACUCCACCUGCUGCCCCCAGGCCUUGGACCCUUCAAGGGGGCUGGGCCAAGGAUGGUGAGGGGAAGGGAAAUAAGGGCCCUUCCAAGAGCUUCCCUAGGAGCCCAGAGCCUGGGGCAAUAACGAAGCUCCUGGAAGUACAGCUGCCAAGAGGACUUCCGGGGUCCCUCCCAGUGGACAGGACCUCAGACUGGCUCACCCAUGGGGCUGAGCAGGGUGGUCCUAGACCCAGCCAUCUUCAAUCAGCUCAUCCACUGCCAUUCACUGGCAUCCUCACCACCAUCCCCUUAACGUGCACAGGAUGCCAGCCAGCCAGGCCAGUUUCUAUGGUGAAGCAAGUGAGCCUUGGAACACAUUCACCUUUGACCCAGAAAUCCUGCUCAUAAGAACUUAUCAUGGAGAUGCCAGGGGACCACUGCAAGUGGAUGCAAGGCCAGGGAGCUAUGGCAAAAUGUUACGGAAAAGAGUCCAAGAGCAGAUGCCAGGCAGAUGCCAGCCUCAUAUCCACAUCCCCAGAUGGCCUUGGAGAAGUGCCAUAGACUGACGUCCAAACAGGGCACUCGAGGAAAGAAGUUCCUAUCUUUGUGAUAAGUUCAUCAUCUCAUACAGAGAAGGAUCUGGAAGGCGCCAUACCAAGGUGCUAACAGGUCCUCUUGGGCAGUGCAACAUCAGAGACUAGCUUUAUAUUCUUCUUUAUGAUUUUCCAUUUUCUGAUAUCUCAAAAAACAGGAAAUUGUUUUAUAAUCAGUUUAAUCAGUCAUUAAACUGAGUUAAGAUAUAAGAUCCUCUAAAAAAAACAGUGUACUUGAUGAUUUGAAUGGCAUCUGAAAAGGCUUGAACAUAAUAUUACCCCAAAGAGGUCACCAGACAAGAUGUGACCCAAUGUGUGUGCAUGAAUCCCUGCAUCUGUAUCCGUACCUAGAUGCGUACCUAGAUCCGUACCUAGAUGCAUAUCCAUAUCUACAUCUAUUCCUGGGGCUACCCAUUGAGGGGGUAAACAGCAGAUAAUGUUGGUUUUCGUUUUGUAUAUCUAACUUUUUUCAUUUUUUCAACAAUAAUUAUACAUUUAUUGUGCAGUCAUGAAAAAUAGGUUUUUGUCACUUAAAUCAGCAGGUUCAUUCCAAUUCACUUGAUAUUUUGUGUGCCUGCUACACCCCAACAGGCAGGGGGCAGGGUUUGAGAUUACACUGAUGAGAAGAUAGAGUGGUCUCUCUUGAGUAGUACAGUGGAGGAUUAUAUGGAAAGAGGUCACUAUGAUCCUAACAUGGAUUCACAUCCUCUGCAUCUUAGGUGCUGCCCAAAGUCCUGAAAUUGUCUCACAGCUCCAGCCAGCACAGAGGCAGGAAGCCCAGGGAAAGUGGCUGAGCCAUAAAAAUGGAAAGAGAUCACGCCUGUAAUCCCAGCACUUUGGGCGGCUGAGACGGGAGGAUAACAAGGUCAGGAAUUCAAGACCAGCCUGGCCAAUAUGGUGAAACCCCAUCUCUACUAAAAAUAUAAAAAUUAGCCAGACGUGGUGGCGGGAUCCUGUAGUCCCAGCUACUUAGGAGGCUGAGUCAGAAGAAUGGCUUGAAUCUGGGAAGCAGAGGUUGCAGUGAGCUGAGAUCGCAGCACUGCACUCCAACCUGGGUGAUAGAGCAAGACUCCAUCUCAAAAAAAAAAAAAAUGGAAAGAGAGGGUAUUUGGGGGGUAUGAGUACCUAGCAGCAGACAUUUAGCAAAGAGGAUUGAAAAAUGCACCCCCUUAAAAUACAGUUAAACACAGAGGAGGGAGCAACCACAAAAAAAAAAAAAAAAAAAAAAAAAAAAAAAAAAAAAAAAAAAAAACGUUGAAGCAAUUUCUGCAAAGAGCAAUAAAA